rnacentral:rRNA from 1 species
CCUACGGGCGGCAGCAGUGGGGGAUAUUGCACAAUGGGGGAAACCCUGAUGCAGCGACGCCGCGUGGGUGAAGAAGCGCCUCGGCGCGUAAAGCCCUGUCAGCAGGGAAGAAAAUGACGGUACCUGAAGAAGAAGCUCCGGCUAACUACGUGCCAGCAGCCGCGGUAAUACGUAGGGGGCAAGCGUUAUCCGGAUUUACUGGGUGUAAAGGGGGCGCAGACGGCGUGGUAAGCCAGGAGUGAAAGCCCGGGGCCCAACCCCGGGACUGCUCUUGGAACUGCGUGGCUAGAGUGCAGGAGGGGCAGGCGGAAUUCCUGGUGUAGCGGUGAAAUGCGUAGAUAUCAGGAGGAACACCGGUGGCGAAGGCGGCCUGCUGGACUGCAACUGACGUUGAGGCCCGAAAGCGUGGGGAGCAAACAGGAUUAGAUACCCGGGUAGUC